AUUGAACGCUGGCGGCAGGCCUAACGCAUGCAAGUCGAGCGGAUGAAGGGAGCUUGCUCCUGGAUUCAGCGGCGGACGGGUGAGUAAUGCCUAGGAAUCUGCCUGGUAGUGGGGGAUAACGUCCGGAAACGGGCGCUAAUACUGCAUACGUCCUGAGGGAGAAAGUGGGGGAUCUUCGGACCUCACGCUAUCAGAUGAGCCUAGGUCGGAUUAGCUAGUUGGUGGGGUAAAGGCCUACCAAGGCGACGAUCCGUAACUGGUCUGAGAGGAUGAUCAGUCACACUGGAACUGAGACACGGUCCAGACGCCUACGGGAGGCAGCAGUGGGGAAUAUUGGACAGUGGGCGAAAGCCUGAUCCAGCGAGGCCGCGUGUGUGAAGAAGGUCUUCGGAUUGUAAAGCACUUUAAGUUGGGAGGAAGGGCAGUAAGUUGAUACCUUGCUGUUUUGACGUUACCAACAGAAUAAGCACCGGCUAACUUCGUG
rnacentral:rRNA from 1 species